UACGAGGGGAGCAAGCGUUUUUCGGAUUUACUGGGCGUAAAGGGCGCGUAGGCGGUCGUGACAAGUCACUUGUGAAAUCUCCGGGCUUAACUCGGAACGGUCAAGUGAUACUGUCGGACUAGAGUACAGAAGGGGCAACUGGAAUUCUCGGUGUAGCGGUGAAAUGCGUAGAUAUCGAGAGGAACACCUGCGGCGAAGGCGGGUUGCUGGGCUGAUACUGACGCUGAUGCGCGAAAGCCAGGGGAGCGAACGGG
rnacentral:rRNA from 1 species